GGAUCUCUUUCUGGAGAUUGCUCCUUUUGGAGUUUUCUAUUGUGAGCCUUGAUCCUUGGAUAUGGCCUGAUGUGUCACAGCACAGCUUGGAGAUGAGAUGUGACACUGUCUUGGAGCUUGAGGUCUGUCUGUCCGGGCCCAGGAAGAUGGAUGGCUUUGCGGUGUUGUUUGAAAGCUGCACUGACCUGCUGAGAUGAGGGAAGAAUCAGAGAAUAUCCUGAGUUGGAGGGAACCUCCCCUGACGCAGCUCCAUGCCAUUCUCUCAGGCCCUGUCGCUGUCACACAGAGCAGAGCUCAGCGCUGCCCUCCACUCCCUGUGAGGAGCUGCAGCCUCCAUGAGGCCUCCCCUCAGCUCCUCUGCUCUGGGUGAAGAAGAAGAGAAACAGCAAGAAGGAGCCCUGAUUGCGGUGCCAGCACAACAGCAGACAGCAGGGGAGGAAAUCGAGGCGAGCACCCCUGGUGCACAUGUGGAUGGCUGAUGCUGCCAUUUCCUAUUUUUAUCCUGAUUCACCGCUCCUGGGAACGGAGAGUGAAAGCUGGGUUACAAGGUGCUUGCUAACUGAGGCUUCGUGGUCAGCAUAUAUCACUAGUGGAUGAGUCUGGCGUUUGUCAAGCCCCAGAACAUGAUGAACAACCCAUUACCACCAGAGUAAUGGAGAGGUCUGAACGUCCACAAAUGACAACCGGGAGCAAUUGAAGUAUGAUGGGGAAGGAGGAUGGGCUGCAGCUCCAG
ensembl:lncRNA